rnacentral:lncRNA from 1 species
GCCAGCACCUAGUGUCUACCACACACCGGGUGAUGGCGCCGGCUGCAGCUGAGGUCUGGUUGUUUGUUUCUAUCAGAACCUGCGGACAGCAGCCGCCUGCCACAAAUGCUUCGGAACUCUAACAUACUUAUACAUAUUUUAGAAUUCCUUAUAAGCUAUAUACCCAGUAACUUAUAUCUACCUAACUUCAACGGUUCAGAAGAUAGUCCGACAGUGGGGUCGACGACCUAUGCUAUAUCUGCGGACGUCCCUAUCUGGAGAAAUAUCCUAUCUGUCUUCAACACAUCUAGGUGUUUCUUUUACGCCUACGAGGUCUACUACAUAACGAAGUCUCGUAAGCCUAAGGCUAGGUUCACACAGAGAGCGAACCGCUGGAAAAAAGCGAAAAGCGAAG